AUAGCGUUGUGUCGUAAUAUAAGGGGGUAGAGCACUGAAUGGGCUAGGGCAUACACCAAUGUACCAAACCCUAUCAAACUCCGAAUACCUUAUAUGUAAUCACAGCAGUCAGGCGGCGAGUGAUAAAAUCCGUCGUCAAGAGGGAAACAACCCAGACUACCAGCUAAGGUCCCUAAAUCUUACUUAAGUGGAAAACGAUGUGAAGUUACUUAAACAACCAGGAGGUUGGCUUAGAAGCAGCCAUCCUUUAAAGAAAGCGUAAUAGCUCACUGGUCUAGUGAUUUUGCGCGGAAAAUAUAACGGGGCUAAAGUAAGUACCGAAGCUGUAGACUUAGUUUACUAAGUGGUAGGAGAGCGUUCUAUUUGCGUCGAAGGUAUACCGGUAAGGAGUGCUGGAGCGAAUAGAAGUGAGCAUGCAGGCAUGAGUAGCGAUAAUUAAUGUGAGAAUCAUUAACGCCGUAAACCCAAGGUUUCCUACGCGAUGCUCGUCAUCGUAGGGUUAGUCGGGUCCUAAGUCGAGUCCGAAAGGGGUAGACGAUGGCAAAUUGGUUAAUAUUCCAAUACCAACAUUAGUGUGCGAUGGAAGGACGCUUAGGGCUAAGGGGGCUAGCGGAUGGAAGUGCUAGUCUAAGGUCGUAGGAGGUUAUACAGGCAAAUCCGUAUAACAAUACUCCGAGAACUGAAAGGCUUUUUGAAGUCUUCGGAUGGAUAGAAGAACCCCUGAUGCCGUCGAGCCAAGAAAAGUUUCUAAGUUUAGCUAAUGUUGCCCGUACCGUAAACCGACACAGGUGGGUGGGAUGAGUAUUCUAAGGCGCGUGGAAGAACUCUCUUUAAGGAACUCUGCAAAAUAGCACCGUAUCUUCGGUAUAAGGUGUGGUUAGCUUUGUAUUAGGAUUUACUCCGAAAGCAAGGAAACUUACAACAAAGAGUCCCUCCCGACUGUUUACCAAAAACACAGCACUCUGCUAACUCGUAAGAGGAUGUAUAGGG
rnacentral:rRNA from 1 species